UAUUGCUAAAUAUUAUCAGUAACAUUAAUUUUCCAGGAGCCUUCCUAACCACAAGUUGAGUGGCCCCAUUUCACCUGAUAUUGGGAAGCUAGAUAGUCUGCAAUUUUUAGCUCUUCAUGGCAACAACUUAUAUGGGGAAAUCCCUCCAGAACUGGGGAACUGUACACAAUUGCAAUCAAUAUUUUUGCAGGGUAACUACUUAAGUGGAUUGAUUCCCAAUGAAUUGGGAAAUCUAUCUCAGCUUGAGAAUUUGGACCUCUCAAGCAACUCUCUCAGUGGAAGCAUUCCUGCUUCACUUGGAAAAUUAAGCAAGCUUUC